rnacentral:rRNA from 1 species
UACGGGGGGGGCAAGCGUUGUUCGGAAUUACUGGGCGUAAAGGGCUCGUAGGCGGCCAACUAAGUCAGACGUGAAAUCCCUCGGCUUAACCGGGGAACUGCGUCUGAUACUGGAUGGCUUGAGGUUGGGAGAGGGAUGCGGAAUUCCUGGUGUAGCGGUGAAAUGCGCAGAUAUCAGGAGGAACACCGGUGGCGAAGGCGGGACUCUGGGCCGAUACUGACGCUGAGGAGCGAAAGCGUGGGGAGCGAACAGG